rnacentral:rRNA from 1 species
CUAAGGCUCCGGAGGAAGCCACGGCUAACUCUGUGCCAGCAGCCGCGGUAAUACAGAGGCGGCAAGCGUUGUUCGGAAUUAUUGGGCGUAAAGAGCACGUAGGCGGCUUUGUAAGUCGGUUGUGAAAGCCUUCCGCUUAACGGGAGAACGGCAGCCGAUACUGCAUAGCUUGAGUGCGGGAGGGGAGAGUGGAACUUCUGGUGGAGCGGUGAAAUGCGUAGAUAUCAGAAGGAACGCCGGCGGCGAAAGCGGCUCUCUGGCCCGUAACUGACGCUGAGUGUGCGAAAGCUAGGGGAGCAAACGGGAUUAGAUACCCCGGUAGUCCUAGCCGUAAA